rnacentral:tRNA from 1 species
GGAGUGGUUCUGGCUCACUGGAAGAGCUUCUGCUUUGCAUGCAGAGGGUCCCAGGUUCAGUCCCUGGCAACUCUG